rnacentral:rRNA from 1 species
ACGAACGCUGGCGGCAUGCCUAACACAUGCAAGUCGAACGAAGCCUUCGGGCUUAGUGGCGCACGGGUGAGUAACACGUGGGAACGUGCCUUUAGGUUCGGAAUAGCUCCUGGAAACGGGUGGUAAUGCCGAAUGUGCCCUUCGGGGGAAAGAUUUAUCGCCUUUAGAGCGGCCCGCGUCUGAUUAGCUAGUUGGUAGUGUAAUGGACUACCAAGGCUACGAUCAGUAGCUGGUCUGAGAGGAUGAUCAGCCACAUUGGGACUGAGACACGGCCCAAACUCCUACGGGAGGCAGCAGUGGGGAAUCUUGCGCAAUGGGCGAAAGCCUGACGCAGCCAUGCCGCGUGAAUGAUGAAGGUCUUAGGAUUGUAAAAUUCUUUCACCGGGGACGAUAAUGACGGUACCCGGAGAAGAAGCCCCGGCUAACUUCGU